AAUGUUCAGAAUCCCCCAAUUGCCUAAACAAAAUUUUUUUUCACUUUGUUUAAAUCAGGAUCCAAAAAAAGGUUCAUCUCUUCCCCUGUCUCCUUUGUAAUUUAUUGCUGCAGAAACCAGGUCAUUUGUCCUGUAGAGCUUCCCAUGGUCUGGAUUUUGUGAUCACCUCCUUGUGGUGGGUUCAGCAUGUUCCUUUGCAAGGUUAUUUAUUUGUUAUCUACCAGUUUCUUGUAAAUUGGUGGUUAGAUCUAGAGACUUGGUCAGACUCAGGUUCAGUUUUGUGGCAGAAAUCCUUCCUAGGUGGUGCUGUGCGUUUCCAUCAGAGACAGGGAGAGUCUGGUUCCUUUCUGUGAGGUUAGCAGCUUAGAAUCAUUGCUGAGACCCCAUUGACAGAUGCCUAAUGAAUUUUAAGGAAUGCAUGUGGCUGCAAUGGCUGUCUCUGAGUAGUACAUUCAGAAAAGCAUUUCCUGGAAAAUGUGUUGUUUGUUUGUUAUUUCCCAGUCAUGGGGACAGCCCUGGAAGUCUGCCCUGCUGGCUGCACUGUGGGCUAAUCCAGGGCAUUUCAGGGAAGCCACCCGCCCUGGGCUUGGCGUGUCUUGGUCAGCUCUGCGGGGUGUUAUGGCUGUUCCUUCCCACCAGAGGACACUGUGGCUCCAGGACUUCACGUGGUUCCCAGCCAGUCUUGCAGCUUCAAGGCCUCUCAGAAGGCCAAGCCUUUGGUGUGCAUUUAUUAGGCACCAACUAUGUGCCUCUCAUGGCAAGAGGAGAGAUGAAAGAGAUCAAACACAAAGUCCUGUGGUGGUGUUUUCCAAGGUAGUUUCUUUGUAUUUUCCUUUAAAAAUAAACAAACAGAGGUACUUCUCCAUCUGUGGGAAACCACUGUAGCCCCCACAGGGUGGCUGUCUCCUGCUGUAAACUGCAAAUUUGGUGACUUGGUGUUGGAUUGUUUUAAAAAACAACUGCAAUAUAUGUGGUUUUUGGAAUGUGAAUGUAUCCAAGAAAGAUGCCAAAGUGUAUUCAUCUCCGAAAUAAUUUAUUCAUUUAUUCAACACCACAUAUUGACUAUCCAGGGGUAAAAGGGAGGGGAACUGAGGCUUACUGAGAGCUGCUCUGUCCCAUCCUUUUUACUGACAUCCUAGCAAGAUGUGUCAUAUUAGCCUUGUUUAAAUCCCAGGAAAGUGAGUCUUACUGAGCCUGAGUGAACCAACUGGCUGAAGGCUAUCCUGCCAAAUGCAAGUCAAGCCUUGUCCCUAUGGCCUCAUAGUUCAGCCCCGGCAGCACGACUGAACUCACAGCACGACCUGUGUAAUUGACUGAAUGCGGUCAGUUACAUGAAGGAGAGAGAAUGACAGCUGGCAGUUGGGAGAAUGGGUGAACUGGCUUCAGCUAGGAAAGAAGAUAGAGGUGGCGGGUGUCUAAAGAAGCAGGGCUUGGAGUGUUCGGAGAGACCCAAUCCUGAACGCCACUGCAACCUCAGGCAAACACAGCUUCAAGGUUCUGGGAAGAGAGGACUAGCGUGGGUGUGAUUCAAGCCACCACCCUCCUCCAAACGAGCCCGAGGAUAAUGAAUGAGCCAUCAGCUAGCGCCUUUGCUCUCCAAUGAAAGGACCUCCCCCUGCAGACAGUCCCUCUGCAAAUACAGUCAUGCCCCAGGAACCAUCUGGCAAAUGUGCCUGUUCCUUCAGCAUUUCUGGUAAUUCCCUGACUUGCAGCCCCUUUUUCUUGGAUAUAAAUUGUUGCAGCAAGCCAAGCAGGCAGAAUGCUUACCGGCGCUUCACAGGCUUUCCCUGAGCCUGGUUAACCCCGUGGCUUGCAGCCUAUGAGGCUGCUCCCAGCUAAUGGAUGCCUCGGAUGCCUGUGUUUCUCCUCUCUGCUGUUCUUGUGUGUUUUGGAGUAUGCCGAGGCAGCUUGUGAGCUGCAGACCAGAGCUGCAGCAAACCAGAUUGAGAGGCCAGGGGGAAAAGCGCAUUUCCGUUGCAGGACGUCCUUCACGGAGAAGGGACAGGUUAACUCCAUCUCUCUGCAGAGGACUUGGACAGCUCCCCGAGGAGCCACAACAGGCUGCCACAGCUGUAGGACAGAUCACGUGCUCUGGCUGUGCACGGGAGGAUGCCCAGCAAACCCAGAUUGCCCACGCCAGCCACUGGGCCCCAUUUUGCACAGAGCCACGUUCCUCCUCUAACCCAGCCUGAUGGUGUGCAAAGCUGGAGAAUUGUGGAUCACCUUGGGGUCACUUGAGCCAGCCCCCUAUUUCCAACCUGCUUCACUGAUUCUAGUUCAGAGGAGGCAGGAGAUAGAAGGGAAGACUCUCAUUAGUCUCCCAUCUCCUUGGUGAUGUGCUUCAUGGACUGGGAGGCCAAGCUGAGCUAUCAACCAUAAGCCCUCUCACCCCUAUCCAAGGAGUACUGGAUUGUUCCAAAGGAGUGGGAGAGGAAGCAAUCAAUGCAAAGACUCCCAGAGUGUCACCAUCACCCUAACAACCAGCGGGCAGUUUCUAUGCAGAUUCACACCUUCCUGCCUUAGAACAUGCAGUUCUGUCUGUCUUGAAUGCAUCAAGCCUCAUCUGCCUGGCGAAUUCCUACUUUGUCUUUUAAGAUUCAGCUCCAAUAUCACCCACUUGGACCCUCUUUCCUCAUACAAGGAAGAUAAAAUAUAGAGCUCAUUGAGGGCAGAGACUACGUCUCAUUCAUCUCGUCUCUGGAGGCUCAAUCUGUAAAGAUGUUUGCCGGCAGUGUUUUGGAAGGGAAAAUCAGAGAUGGCGGGAUUUAGAUAUGGAUUCUCCUACUGAAAUCUCCUGGUCCCACCCACUUGUUUCACAAAAGACAAAAUCAAGGUAAGGAAACCCUGCCUUCCCCAGGGUCACAGGGCUAAAUGGUGACAGAGCUGGGAUAACAACCCAGGUCUUCUGACUCCCGGGCCUGCUGGCAAGUACGCUCACAUCCUGAUCUCUAUUUCCCCGGUCCAGCCUGGGUGGAAGGGCUGAUGGGAAAUGAACAGGCUUCUGGGCCAGCGGCAAGAGGAAGUAGGGUUGAGUGAUGCCAGCUGAAUUUAAGAGCUGGAAGAGAUGUCAGAGGCCAUCUAGUCUGAACUCUCCAUUUACAGAUGAGAAAACGGAGCCCCACAGGGUUGAGGUGCUUUGCCCAAGGUUACACAGCAAGCUGGUGGCAGAACUAGGACUAGAAUGUAGGCCUCCUAAUUCCCAGGAAAGCUGAGAGUUACACUCCCACCCCAGAAACAUGACUGCCAAGCCCUCCUGACCAGCUGCUAGCCGAGGGGUAGGUCCCUGGAGUCCCUGACUCUUACAGGCUUUCCUCUCCCUCUCGUGGUGGCACAGCAUUUAAGUAGGGUGCAUUCUGCAUAAAUAAUAAAGAAUGCUUCCCUUCCAGGGAGGGCGGCUGCGUCUGGGCGGGCAGUGUGGCAGAUGGUAUUUACAGUGUGCACUGAGCAGUUCUCACAUAGCCUCACUUGCGCCGUGCGGCUGAGAGAUGGAGGAAGCAGGUUUGAGUGCCCAUCGUCUCACUCCUCUGCCUGGUGUUUCCAGGCAGCUGCGGCUGCUGUGGCCGCCGCUGCCGCAUUUCUCUUCACGGCUGUCUCCCCAGCACUGUUGCCUCUUUCCGUGCUGGAUAUGGAGCUCCAGGAUGUUUUGCUGUUGCCGCUGCUGCUGCUACAUCCUCAUCAUCAGAAAGCCUGCCUCGUGGACCCCAAGGCAUUCUUCACGGGAACUCCUCAUGGGAGACGGUGCCGGAUUAAUUGACAUUCUUCCCCAACGGAGGCUGAGGAAGUCCUAGGGGGCCACACACUGGGCAGACUUCCCAGGAAUUCUGACCUCUGGGAGGCCUUCCUUAGGCCUGAAGAAGUAUAAAUAGCACAGGUUCAUUCAUUAAGCAAAUACUGUUUGUGAACCUUCGAUGUGCCAGGAAUUGUUCUAGGAGUCAAGGUAUUGCUAUGGGCAAACAAACCAAGUCCCUGCCCUCCAUGAACGUACACUCUAGUGGAAAGGUCUACCAUGGGCCUCGUGGCACAUGGCCCCUGGCCCUCCCAGAAUGUACAUUUCUUCCACUCUGCUCUUGCGAACACCCUCAUGCCUGGUGCAGUGUGGUGGUGAACAAGAGCAAACCUUUCUCCCUCCUUUGGGGACACUGAUUGCACCGUACCAUAAGAGGAACAAAGCUGAUAAACAUACCAAUGGCUUUUGCUCUAAAGCCAGAGACAUCCCCAAAGUUUCUGAGCCAUACAGCAGCCUGUAGCUACACAAGCCCCACUUGGGCACUCCGCUUUAGCCCCACCCAGCUGUCCUGGGAGAAAGUCACUGCAGACAGUGGUCCGGGCCAAGGCAUUUAACACAUCGGGAGCUUUUGUCUUUCCUUCUUGAAAUAAGAAAUGUGGUGAGAGGAGUGUAAAAUCAAACCUCCUCUGGGCUCAGGGAUGUUAGGAUCCCCCCUUGUAAAAUGGAGGCAGUUGUACUUGUCCUGCUCACCUCAAAAAGGCCGGCUUUUUGAGGAUGAAAUGAAAUGAUAAAUAUGGAAGUGUUUUCUAAUAAAGGCAGCAGGCAUAUAAUUGUAUUUUUAUUACGCAGAAGAAUCUUUUCUCCAUAACAUAAACUUGUUUCUUGUUGGGGGUUGAGAGUAAUAACUAUGUAAUUAGACUUUGUGUCAUAUCAAGAGACAU